rnacentral:rRNA from 1 species
GAUGAACGCUGGCGGCGUGCCUAAUACAUGCAAGUCGAGCGAACAGACGAGGAGCUUGCUCCUCUGACGUUAGCGGCGGACGGGUGAGUAACACGUGGAUAACCUACCUAUAAGACUGGGAUAACUUCGGGAAACCGGAGCUAAUACCGGAUAAUAUAUUGAACCGCAUGGUUCAAUAGUGAAAGACGGUUUUGCUGUAACUUAUAGAUGGAUCCGCGCCGCAUUAGCUAGUUGGUAAGGUAACGGCUUACCAAGGCAACGAUGCGUAGCCGACCUGAGAGGGGGAUAGGCCACACUAGAACUGAGACACGGUCCAGACUCCUACGGGAGGCAGCAGUAGGGAAUCUGACGCAAUGGGCGAAAGCCUGGCGGAGCAACGCCGCGUGAGUGAUGAAGGUCUUCGGAUCGUAAAGCUCUGUUAUUAGGGAAGAACAAAUGUGUAAGUAACUAUGCACGUCUUGACGGUACCUAAUCAGAAAGCCACGGCUAACUACGUG